GGAGUUGAGGCUCAGUGGGCAGAGCGCUUGCCUAACAUGCAUGAGGCACUGAGUUUGAUCCCCAGCACCA
rnacentral:tRNA from 1 species